GUCAACUUCCGGCUUUGAAAAUCAUAUUUUCCUGUCCAAGAAACGUGAAUUUGAGAUAAACAAACAAACGUGAUAUUUAAUUUAGCUACAAAACGUUCGAAUGUAGCUGGCUAUGGUGAAAUGCGUGGUUCUGGGGUAUCCUAAUCGAAGCGACAAUAAUAAAGGAGCGUUUCCGAAUCGACCUAUAAGGUUUUUACAUUUUCCUAAGGACCAGACUCGAAUAGAAGUGUGCCUUGCUGCCCUGCGAAAGACGGAAAAGUAGAAUUCAACGGAGGAGCACAUCAUAUGUGAAAAACACUUUCUGACAGACCACAUACAUAAUUCGUGGAUGAAGAUGUUGCAACGGCUAAGCACGGGAGGAUACGCUCAUGAUUUCUUUGAUUGAUAGCUUUCUUAUCGCAAUGAUUGUAGUCGUUGUUUUUAGGAAUCCCUGUCUACAUAUAUUUUUAUGAUGUGCCAGCCCGAGACUGAACCAUCUGCAUCAAUGUAAGGAUCUGUCCCUGGCUCUGUUGACCAAGAAGUUCCUAAGGCUAUUGUGUGGCAUCCAUCAUGGUUUCAUAGACCUUAACCUCGCGGCAAAGAACCUCAUCACAAGCAAACCGAGGGUCUAUGACCUCACCAACUGCCUGGAGGGGACCAACCUUAUUCAGAAACAAUCUGCCAACAAGAUCAAGUGGUUAGGUCCAUGUCCAGUCACCAGUCUUGUGGGGCCGAAGCAGAGGUUUUAGCGGGAGCUGCAGAACCUGAAGACGGUGGAGGAAAGUCUGGAUGAGCUCAUCAAGACCUGUGCACAGCAGCUCUUUGACAUGACGGACAGCCUAGACAACAGAGA